rnacentral:rRNA from 1 species
CCUACGGGAGGCAGCCGUGGGGAAUAUUGCGCAAUGGGCUAAAGCCUGACGCAGCGACGCCGCGUGAGGGAUGAAGGUCUUCGGAUCGUAAACCUCUGUCAGCAGGGAAGAACGGUCACUGUGCUAAUCAGCAGUGAAUUGACGGUACCUGCAAAGGAAGCACCGGCGAAAUCCGUGCUAGCAGCUGCGGUAAUACGGAGGGUGCGAGCGUUAAUCGGAAUGACUGGGCGUAAAGCGCUCGUAGGCGGUAUGUCAAGUCAAGGGUGAAAUCCCCGCGCUCAACGUGGGAACUGCCUGUGAAACUGGCAAACUGGAGUGUGUGAGAGGAUAGUGGAAUUUCAGGUGUAGGAGUGAAAUCCGUAGAUAUCUGGAGGAACAUCAGUGGCGAAGGCGACUAUCUGGCACAUAACUGACGCUGAGGAGCGAAAGCGUGGGUAGCAAACAGGAUUAGAUACCCGGGUAGUC